GACGAACGCUGGCGGCGUGCUUAACACAUGCAAGUCGAACGAUGAAGCCUAGCUUGCUAGGUGGAUAGUGGCGAACGGGUGAGUAAUACGUGAGUGACCUACCUUUGACUCUGGGAUAAGCCUGGGAAACUGGGUCUAAUACCGGAUAGACCAAUCUCCGCAUGGGGUGUGGUGGAAAGCGUUAUGGAGUGGUUUUAGAUGGGCUCACGGCCUAUCAGCUGUUGGUGAGGUAAUGGCUUACCAAGGCGACGACGGGUAGCCGGCCUGAGAGGGUGACCGGCCACACUGGGACUGAGACACGGCCCAGACUCCUACGGGAGGCAGCAGUGGGGAAUAUUGCACAAUGGGCGCAAGCCUGAUGCAGCGACGCCGCGUGAGGGAUGACGGCCUUCGGGUUGUAAACCUCUGUUAGCAUCGAAGAGCGAAAGUGAUGUAGGUCAGAGAA
rnacentral:rRNA from 1 species